rnacentral:lncRNA from 1 species
CAUGCAGUGCCACUCUUUCGAUAGUCUGCAAGAAGUGGCUAGUCCACUAAUACCUGUUCUGAUUGUGCCCUGAUCCCUUCUUUCAAGGAUCAACUUUUUUAAUGUAUCGAUAUACACUUGCCUGAAGACAUGUUUGGUACUCGCUGUGUGUGGUAGGGUUUGUUUUGUGUGAAAAUAAUCUUUUGUGGUAUCUGUCAUGUAUGGAUCAGCGAUGACAGCUGUUCACGGCACCGACACAGAGGACAGAUUGCAGUGCAAGAUAGGAGCGGUCUUCCUGCAAGCCCAGACAAGCCAUAUUGAGUGGUUUCAAAUACAGCAACUGUACCACCACGACAGUGCAGCACAAGAGACCCUAUCGUCAGUGCUGAGUCAGAAAUUAAAUAGAAAAGCGCUUUCUUCUGAAA